rnacentral:rRNA from 1 species
AUUGAACGCUGGCGGCAGGCCUAACACAUGCAAGUCGAGCGAGCGGCGGACGGGUGAGUAAUGUCUGGGAAACUGCCUGAUGGAGGGGGAUAACUACUGGAAACGGUAGCUAAUACCGCAUACCAUCAGAUGUGCCCAGAUGGGAUUAGCUAGUUGGUGGGGUAACGGCUCACCUAGGCGACGAUACCUAGCUGGUCUGCGAGGUUGACCAGCCACACUGGAACUGAGACACGGACCAGACUCCUACGGGAGGCAGCAGUGGGGAAUAUUGCGCAAUGGACGGAAGCCUGAUGCAGCCAUGCCGCGUGUGUGAAGAAGGCCUUCGGGUUGGAAAGCACUUUCAGCGGGGAGGCGUUACCCGCAGAGGAAGCACCGGCUAACUCCGUGCCAGCAGCCGCGGUAAUUC